rnacentral:tRNA from 1 species
GAGGGUAUAGCUCAAGUAAGAGCACAUGCUUAGCAUGCAUGACAUCCUGGGUUCAAUUCCCAGUACCUCCU